GAUAUCCAGACAUCAAAAAUUUGGAGGAACAAGGGAGGUUCAGUAGGGAGGUUCAGUAGUAGUUAGUUUUAUAAACUCAAGUGGAUGAGUGGCUCUCAUUGGUCAGUGACAUCUUUAGCCCUUCUAUAUUUUGUCAAAAUAAAGAAGGAGAUCCCGGGGUUGGGGAUUUAGCUCAGUGGUAGAGCGCUUGCCUAGGAAGCGCAAGGCCCUGGGUUCGGUCCCCAGCUCCGAAAAAAAGAACCAAAAAAAAAAAAAAAAAAAGAAGAGGAAGGAGAUCCCAUCAUUGCUGGCUAAGAGAGAACACACAGGUAAGCUCUGUUCACAUUUCAGUGACUCCAGAUCCAUGCUACAUUGCCACUCCCAGUUUCCCCUGGACAACUUAGUGUGUUUGCAAAACACAGGGAGUAGGAUACAAUCGGUGGCUCUUAACUCAUGGGGUUAUGGUGGGAAUUAAAUGCCUUAGCUGGGUGUCCACACAUCAGAAAGGGGUUGGUUAGCUCUUAUUUGACUGUGUGUUUUGUCUUUUAGGAUGGAGAGGUAGAAGGCCAUCCGGUCUGGGCGUUAAUUUAUUACUGCAUGCGCUGUGGAGACCUGCUUGCUGCAUCACAAGUCGUCAGUCGAGCCCAGCACCAGCUGGGGGAAUUUAAAACCUGGUUCCAGGAAUACAUGAAC
rnacentral:lncRNA from 1 species